rnacentral:rRNA from 1 species
UACGUAGGGGGCAAGCGUUGUCCGGAUUUAUUGGGCGUAAAGAGCGUGUAGGCGGCUUGGUAGGUCCGCUGUGAAAACUCGAGGCUCAACCUCGAGAUGUCGGCGGAAACCACUUGGCUAGAGUCCGGAAGAGGAGAGUGGAAUUCCCGGUGUAGCGGUGAAAUGCGCAGAGAUCGGGAGGAACACCCGUGGCGAAGGCGGCCAACUGGGCCGGACCUGACGCUGAGGCGCGAAGGCGUGGGGAGCGAACGGG